rnacentral:rRNA from 1 species
UGCAGUCGAGCGGAUCUGAGGGAGCUUGCUCCCAAAGAUUAGCGGCGGACGGGUGAGUAACACGUGGGCAACCUGCCUAUAAGACUGGGAUAACUUCGGGAAACCGGAGCUAAUACCGGAUAAUGCUUUUGGACACAUGUCUGGAAGCUGAAAGAUGGCUUCUCGCUAUCACUUAUAGAUGGGCCCGCGGCGCAUUAGCUAGUUGGUGAGGUAACGGCUCACCAAGGCAACGAUGCGUAGCCGACCUGAGAGGGUGAUCGGCCACACUGGGACUGAGACACGGCCCAGACUCCUACGGGAGGCAGCAGUAGGGAAUCUUCCGCAAUGGACGAAAGUCUGACGGAGCAACGCCGCGUGAGUGAUGAAGGUUUUCGGAUCGUAAAACUCUGUUGUUAGGGAAGAACAAGUACCGGAGUAACUGCCGGUACCUUGACGGUACCUAACCAGAAAGCCACGGCUAACUACGUGCCAGCAGCCGCGGUAAUACGUAGGUGGCAAGCGUUGUCCGGAAUUAUUGGGCGUAAAGCGCGCGCAGGCGGUUCCUUAAGUCUGAUGUGAAAGCCCCCGGCUCAACCGGGGAGGGUCAUUGGAAACUGGGGAACUUGAGUGCAGAAGAGAAGAGCGGAAUUCCACGUGUAGCGGUGAAAUGCGUAGAGAUGUGGAGGAACACCAGUGGCGAAGGCGGCUCUUUUGGUCUGUAACUUGACGCUGAGGCGCGAAAGCGUGGGGAGCAAACAGGGAUUAAGAUACCCCUGGUAGUCCCACGCCCGUAAACCGAUGAAGUGCUAAGUGUUAAAAGGGGU